CAGAGGAGCCUGUUCAUUUCUGCUGCCUCCUCAGCAGGGCUCCCAGGCUGCACACAUCAGCUCUGGGCUCAGGGCCUUCAGGAUCAUUAAACCCUUCACCAAGAGAGCGCAAUGGAAGUGCUGAUUAUGAAAGCUUCUGGAAAUGGCCCAGGAGUGUAGGAGAAUGCGGAGCACAGACAAGGUUGAGAAGGGAGAAAAAAGGACCUGCUGGCCUUGGUACUGGAUCCAAACUAAUGAGAAC
rnacentral:lncRNA from 1 species